GGGCCUCCCUGCAGGAACCAGGGCUUUAGCAGUCAGACCUCACAGCACCCAACUCCAGUUCGGCCACAUCUGUCUUGUACCAAUAAUCUGUAGGGAAGAAAGAAGCUGAAACUCCUGAAGCAAUGUGGAUCAAUUCCUCAAUGACUACAGUUAAUUUUUUGACUAAUGGUGUUUUCUUAUGCUGGGUUAUAUAAAAAAGUAUGACUGCAGAAAUUUAAGAAGAAAGAAAAGCUGCUAGAACCAUGAAGUAAUUCUGUUUUCUGAAAGAACAGCCCAAGGAAAUGAUAAAUUACCAAGGAUUAAUAACUCACUGAAGAAACAGUAAAGUUAAUCCUAGAUACAAUGAACUCUGGAUGUAACACACAGCCCUGGGAGAUGUUACUUUUAUUCAAUGUGUCCUGGGAGGCCCUUUUUAGAAAACAGAAUCCAUCUGAUUACUUCAGGUAUAUGCACAGGGUAUAUUCAAGACCCAGGAAAUGGUAAUUUUCAGGCCCUGAAAUAUUGUGUUCCUUGCUCACAUUAAAAAGUGAAUAAACGAAAGCACUGGGUUCCUUCAGCUCAGAACAAACAGCCUCUUCUCGUGCACUCCUAAACAGAAAACAGUAUUACAAAGCCACCAGGAGGCAGCAGAUUAAAAUAUUUGUGCUAUAAAGAACAACCAUUAAAAAACCCAAACCCUGCCCCUCUCCCAAAUCUUCAAUCUGAUAUGGAGGAAAUGUGUUCUCCCAGCCCCCUGAUGACCAUUUUGCUUUAUCCACUGAUCUCUAUUCUCUGCAUACCUGAAAUCAGUAGCGAUUCCACUGCUGUCAAACAGCUUUAUGUAGGAGCAUGGUUAAAAUGGAAAUCAAACUGAUUUCUGGAAUAGCACUGAGUGGAAAAAAAAUGAGCAAAAGAAGUAGGUAAAAGCGAUAUGACAAAAUAUAAAACCUCCCAACAGAUUAAACCACCUCUGGGGUUUGCUGAAAAAUUCCAGCCCCCUGAGCUCUCUCCUGACUACCUUCUUUUGUUUACAGAAUGCCACCCAAGAAGAAGCACUGGAAUUGUGACCAACCCAGGACAGGCUCUGGCUCCCUGCCACACCAACGCCGCUGCUCCAGCUACGCUGCCCUGGCCCCCGUCCAGCUCUGCAUUCCCUGACCCAGGAAAGCUGCAAGUUGUUUCCUGUCCAUCGUCCUCCUUUUCUGCUGGUAUAAAAAACUGUCAUCAGUUGUGGCUCAGCAUGGUUUAAGACAGCCUGAGAUCACUACAGACAUAUAUGCUGAACAUAGAUAUGAAACACAGUGGGGCAGCAACAGAGAUGUUGGAACUACCUAAAACAUUUCUAUAUAUGGCUCUACGAGUCCAAGGUAUGUGCACAGUCCCCCAGCAAAGCAGGGCAUGAGCAGUGUGCAAUCAGCCCCAGGAAAGGCACUUGGCAACCAGCCCAAGGAUAAACCACAACAGCAAAGACUCGUGAUUUCAGAACCAAAAUUCAGCUCCUAACAAAGUGCACUGGUGCCUCUGGUGUCUGAAUUCAAACAAGACACUACACAUUUUCCACUGCAAAGAUCACGAUUAAUUGGGAAAGUAAAACGCAAGCACAGUGUCAGCAGAAAUCACAAAUUUAUUAAUCCUUAAAUAUAUCAAUCAUUUACCAUUAUGGCAAGAAAUAUGUACACUGUGUCCCAUGGUAAACUGCAGUGUUCCAAAAUGACAGAAGUGUAGAAUUCAGUUGUGGUGGAGAGAACAAAGCACAAUUUCCUCACGUCUUGGUGUGGAAGACAAACUUGGUCUACAGUAAUACGUCAACACCACAUGCUAUGUUAGAAGUAUAAAAAAAACACCCUACACCUAAUUCAUUAAUUUUAAAUACAGUUAUGCCACUUAUAGCCGCUUCACAAAAAAAAAAAAAAAGAAAAAAAAGAAAAAAAGAAAAAAAGAAAAAAAAAAGAAAAAAAAUUAAUGAGAAAAAAAUGAGGCCAUUACUUUUUUCACAGAUCCCAUUGGCAGGUUAAUAUGGCUCAACACAUUUAUUGUAGAUGCUUAUUUUAAAUAUAUAUUGUUUAAAGUCAUGUAGUAAUUAUCAGAGAAGCUUAUGUCCAUCUACCAUACAUCCACUAGUAACAACAUCAACAUGUUUAAGAACUGCUUCUGAUUAGUAAUCAACACAGAAAGGUGAAAUGAUACAAAUUAGGAAGCUUUCCCAUUUUAAAAAGUCCUGGCUGCCGAGUUGUAAAUUUUGGAUGGCUAAAAAGGACACUGACUGAGAUACCAUGCACUGUACAGCGCUGCGGGGAACAGGAGCCUGCUGCUAACGGAACCAUGGGAGAUCAGGAGCAGCCCAGCCUGGCCUUUCCUGAAGGAAGUGGAAGGGAACAAACUGAAAUUCUCGUGAGGAUUCAUUUUUACAGCAACGUGAGGGAAGGAGAACCAGUCCCUGCUGCAAAGUCUGCGUUCCGCGCUGCCGGCGCGGCGCUCCUCCCUCGGCCCGGAGCCGGGACAAACCCGUCAGCAUCGCCGGCCUCGACAGGGAACGCUGCCAGGGGAGCUUGGGAAACCAAGAGAGGAUUGAGGGGAAGAGGAGGAGACACACAAACCUGUGGUGAAGUGUUAGGGUCCCACGGAAAACCGGUGUCUCCGUAAUUCGUUUCCAGAGAAGCAACAGCAGCAGUGUCAUGUAAGUAAACUCUUCAUACUUAGCUUUAAGG